rnacentral:rRNA from 1 species
UACGUAGGGUGCGAGCGUUAAUCGGAAUUACUGGGCGUAAAGCGUGCGCAGGCGGUUCGUUGUGUCGGUGGUGAAAGCCCCGGGCUUAACCUGGGAAUGGCCAUGGAAACUGGCGAACUGGAGUGUGGCAGAGGGGGGUGGAAUUCCGCGUGUAGCAGUGAAAUGCGUAGAUAUCAGGAGGAACACCGGUGGCGAAGGCGGGUCUCUGGGCAACAACUGACGCUGAGGAGCGAAAGCGUGGGGAGCGAACAGG